rnacentral:rRNA from 1 species
UACGUAGGGGGCAAGCGUUGUCCGGAAUCAUUGGGCGUAAAGAGCGCGUAGGCGGCCCUGUAAGUCCGCUGUGAAAGUCAAGGGCUCAACCCUUGAAUGCCGGUGGAUACUGCAGGGCUAGAGUCCGGAAGAGGCGAGUGGAAUUCCUGGUGUAGCGGUGAAAUGCGCAGAUAUCAGGAGGAACACCGAUGGCGAAGGCAGCUCGCUGGGACGGUACUGACGCUGAGCGCGAAAGCGUGGGAGCAAACAGG